CUAUCUGCAAACCUGAGAGGUGGAAGGUGAAUCCAGGCCAGAAUGGAAGGCCAGCCGGACAGUACCAAGCAGGAGGGAUGGGUGAUAGACAACAAUAAGAUCAGCACAGAAGACUCAGUUUCUCCUGAGGCCUCAGAAGGAACAGUCGCUGAGUUGGUCCAGAACAUUGUGCCUUCCACCUCUGCUAUACAGGCCAGUGAAGAGCAGCCUGCAUCUGAAACUAACUCUACCAACAUCCAUGGUUUGGACAUUCAUGGUGUAGAAGACAGCGUAGUUACAAGCCAAGACAGUGCCGGGGAUUCUCUGUCUCUUAAACUUGACUGUACCCCAGAGAAGGGAGGUGACAUGAUGCCAAGAAGGGAUUCUAGUGGACAUCCAGAAAAUGAUAUGUUUGCAGAAGGACAUGUCAAACCUACUGCUAACAGGGAGAGCUCUUGUUCAGAUAAUAUAAACAGUGUACCCAUAGAUGGAAAGAGGCAUCCUGCAACUGAUCCUAACCACAUAAGUGAACAAAUAACAGACUUGAAAGACUUGAGCAAAACAGAAAGCUUGAUGGCAAGCGAUCAAAAGAAAUCUGAUAAAGCUAGUCUGGAGCCUGUCCCAGCAAAACACACAUCAGAGACUGAAGGGGCUAAACCAGGGGAUCGUUCUGUAAACAGUACAGAGGAAACUGAUUUAGGAACAGAUACCACGGUGAUCCCAGAGCCAAUUUCAGAGACUAUAACAGUACAGUCUUCUGUUAGUCCGAAGGAAAAUGUGACACGUCUUACAGAUCCUGCAACAGACUGCCAGGAAAGUAUACAUGAUGUAGCAACAACUGAAGAGGUCACAGAAUCAAAUAUAAGUGAUCAGGACAAUAGUGUCAAGCUGACCUCAGUGCAGAAGAGCGCAGCUGAAGAAAACAUGAGUGUGAAAGAAAGCUGUGGAGCCACAGGAGGUAACAUGCAAAUUGUAAGGUCAAGCAACGAAGAUACAACAAGUGCUACAGAACAAGUAGGAAGCCACAAUUCUGUGAAAGGAAAUGGUAUAGGGCACGAUGUGUCUGGGGAAGAUUACAAUGAAACCAGUGGCACUCUACAGGCAGAGUCUUCACUACAGGAUAAAUCAAUCAACCAACAGGAAGAAAAUAUAUCCACUUGCAAGGAGUGCCCAGAAGAACUUGAAGUUCCUUGUCAGUCUGAGAAUGGCAAGUCAAACGCUGGGCAAAAUGAUCUGCAGAUGUCUGGGGGAGAAACACCAAUGAUAUACACAGAAAAGGACAUGACAGAAGAAGACCUCGCCGACAUCUCGGAGUUUGACUCCACAACAGAAAACGUUCCAGAAAACGUGACCUUGAACUCUGCGACUGAACUGGAAGCUUCUGAAGGACAGAUGGAUAGUCUGACUUUUGAGACGGGUGCAGAAGACGGGGACCCAGAUUCAUCUCAGUCAUCGCUGGAGGCCCCGACCUGUCAUCUGGACCUGGGCCUUCCUACCUUAGAGAUGCCACUAGGGGAGAACCGCAUCAGUAUGUAUAGUGAUGGGGAUGAUAGCCAACCUUCGGGGAAGAAGAUCAGACAAGAAGAUGAACUUGACAAAGAUGCAGUUUCAAAUAGAAAGGACAACAUCAAAGACAAGAAAGAAGAGUCUAGAUGUGGAGAAAAGGAAGUAGAAGCUCUUGCUGUAGACACUUUACCAGCUUCUAGUACAGAGGGUCCAAUGAAAGAUAUAAACCUGAAUUUUGGGACAUUUCCUGGUGUGGACUGUACAGUAGGUCAGUCAUCGGGAGAACACUUCUUAACAGAGAAAGGAUCUUGUAAUUCAAAUACACUCACACCAUCUGAUACAAAUGAAAACAGAAUUGAGGACAGCUUGUGCACACUUUCAGCUGAAGACAUUGUAUGUCCCUUAGAUUUGACAACAGCCUUGAAUGGUACCAAAGAAGUAACUGAACAAGAAGCAAGAUCAGCAGCGAGGGCUUAUGUGGGGAGAUCAAUGUGGGAUGCUGUGAAACCAACAGAGAACAUUCAGCACAAGACAGAACCUGUGUUCCCACCCAAGCCAGCGGACACAAAAAUCCUCCAGUUCUGGAAAAAGACAUUCCAGUGUAAGUACUGCAGCUACCAUGCCCAAAGUCAAGCUGCCAUCAAGCACCACACUCAGGAAAAACAUACCAAGAAACACACAGAGGAAAAGAAGGGAAAGGAACUGCCUCGGAAGAAAGAUGAGAUGGAAACUAGAGAGCAGGUGCAAAAUCCUGCCGGACAGGACCAGGCAUUUCUGUCACUUGUGAUUCCCAGUGUGAAGAAACAAGAAACACUCUCUGAAGAGAACAAGGGUGAAGAAGAUUUUCCCUGUACUUUCUGUUCAUACAAGGCUAAAGACAAGUCAACUCUCAUGUCUCACAUUGAGGUUCACUACGCAGGGUUUGCCUACAAGUGUAACCACUGUGGCUUCCUGUCACCCACACAGGAACAAGCACUGCACCACUUUGACUCCAUCUGUGAGAGCAAACCCAAGGACAAGACAAGCAGUCCUAGGAAGAAAAAACGCACAAAAGAGGCAUCACCAAGCAAGGGACAAAAACGUCUCAACAGCAAGAAUAAGCCAGGUUCUCCUGAAAAAGACGCUGACAGCAAGAAUAGUAAGAAUAAGCCAGUCCCCGCUGAAAAGGACGAAAGCGCACAAGCUCAAGACAUGAGUGGAGAUGUAUCUGAUGACUCUGACAUCAUCACCAUCCUGCAAGAGCCUCCCAAGUACUCCUACCAGUGUCCACACUGCCCUUUCACCGUGACUGGCAAGGCUAAACUAAACCUGCACAUAGCAGGACACUCGAAGCAGGACGGCCACAAGUGCACCCUGUGUAACUUCCGGGUCACCUCUGAAGCAAAACUGUCCAAGCACCUCAGGGUUCACCAGAUGAUUGGACGGUUCAAGUGCAAGCACUGUCGCUUCUGGUCCAUCUACAAGGACAGGGUGAAACUGCACCUACAGACGGAGUGCAAGCUGAAGGGGACUGGGAAGGGACGUAAGAGUGUUGUAAAGGUAGAACAGAAGGAGGCAGUGAACACGUGGACAUCAAGGGAAGAUGAGACCAACUCAGAUAUUGUCUCCAUGGUAAAGGAUCCAAACCAGUACCCCCACAGGUGCCCCCACUGUCCGUUUUCCUCGGCCUCUCCCACCCAGAUAGAGAGCCACAUUUCGCAGCACUUUCGUGAGGAGGGUGCUCAGUGUGACGAGUGCACCUUCUGGGCCAUCAGUGACGGCAUGCUGAGGAAACACAAGCGGGUGCACCAGAAGUUGGGCAAGUACAAGUGCAAGCAUUGCGCCUACUGGGUCCCUGGGUACAGGGAGAAAAGUGCUAACCCAUCUGGAAAAGUGCAAGCACAACCCAGGAAGGACUGCAACAGAAGAGGAAACUGUGGAGCCUGACAACACAGCAAAGGAGAAAGCAGAAAACAAAGCUAAACGAGAGUCUUACUCGAGGUGGGACGACAGUGAGGAUGAAGACAUUGUGGUCAAAGUGAAGAAGUCGCUACGUACUGGGCACAAGUGCCCCCAUUGCCCCUUUGUUGCCUCCAACAUUGGAAAGCUGUCCAUCCAUCUUCCAAAUCAUGACAGAACAGACGGUGUCAAGUGUCCCAAGUGUACCUUUAGAGCUGGCAGUGAGCAGCUACUGGGCUUUCACAAGAGGGUGCAUCAAAGGGGUGUGAGGACCUAUCACUGCACCCACUGUACCUUCUGGUCAUGGUACAAGGACAGGGUGCAGAAACACCUGGAGAAAGGCUGUCCACAGAAGAAAGCAGAGAACCCUAGCAGCAACGAGGAAAAGAAUUCAGUGAAAAGGCCAAAGAAGAGCCUGACACCAAAUCAGCUAAAAAGGAGUCUGACCUUGAUGAAGAACUGUCUACAUCACGGGUAGCAACAGAUGAUCAUCUUGCAGAGCUUACAGAGGAGACAACCAGCUCCUUGGGGAAAAGGCCUCUGAAGAGAUAAAGGGGGAGGAAGAGAUGGCUGGAGAAGAAUUUACUAGUAGCCCAAACCUGGACGACCACAUCAUCAUGAUAGAACAGGAAGCAGAGGCGAGGUACGGCCUGAAGUGUCCCCACUGUCCUCUGACAACGGCCAGCACUGACUGCUACCAGCAGCACCUGGCCAGGCACGAAUUAAAGGAGGGCAUCAAGUGUGACCAGUGCUCCUUCAGGGCACUCACGACAGGCAGGCUGCAGGUACACAAGAAGGUCCACGCUAAGAAGUACAUGUACCAGUGCAAGCACUGCGUUUUCAUUGCUGACAACAAGUUUGAAGUUGCGCAGCACCUGGGACAUUGUGUGCAGAAAAUCAAACGAGAUCAAGAGGCCAGAGAAAGGAAGGAGUCGGAUGAAGUUGUGGUGAGCAGAGGCAUCAGGCAGUACAGUAUGAACUGCCCCCACUGCCCCUACACCACCGGUAACUCCAGGUGUAUGAAGGCCCACCAGCAGAGGCACAUGAACCAGGAUGGCAUCCAGUGUGAACGCUGCUCCUCAAUGCCCUGAGCCCGGGAAAGAUGGCCAAACACAUGAAGGUGCACCAGACAGGAGAAGGGUUCAAAUGCAAGUACUGCAUGUUCUUCUCCUCCUACCGCAGCCAUGUGCUGCAGCAUUUGAGACUCUGCAGGAACAGGGCAAGCCAGACAAAGAAGGAAGCAAAGGGUGGCAAGGAGGCUGAAACACCAGAAGAAAAGGCAGAAGACCUUUCAACCAAGUCAGAAUCUCUACAUGAUGGUGUGGAGAAAGACGAUAUUGGUCCAUGCAGUGAAAUAGAGAUUCUCAAGCCAGAGAAAACAAGCAACUAUAAACACAACUGUUCGUACUGUCCUCACAUGGCCUUGUCACCUGCAAGUUUGGAACCGCACAUACAACGGCACUUUGUCAACGAGGGUCCCAAGUGCAAGUUCUGCACGUACAGAGCGCUGAGUGCCAGUGGGUUGUACGGCCAUGAACGUCUGCACUGGAGAGGCUGCUUCAAGUGUAAAUACUGUGCGUACUUGGCACCACACCGCAGGAGGGUCCUGGAGCAUCGUGGAAGAAUGUCCGGGUCGACGUAUUCUGUCUGUGUCCAUUCAAGAUCCCAAAGAAGAAACCGACAAAAGACAUGACUGUUUCAGCCGUAAAUACAGACACUGUCAGUCAGACAGAGGAAGGAAAGGGACAGAAGAGGAAGGAUCCUGUAGAGGUGUCAGACAGAGAUGUUGUGAUUGCUUAUAGGAAACAGACAGGCAAGCAGCACAAGUGUCCACACUGUCCUUAUUCAGCCUCAGGGCCAGCCCUUCUGGAGCCGCACGUGGUGAGGCACUCGGACACAGGGAGUGGCUUCAAGUGUGACCUGUGCAACUACAGGGCAGCAAGCUUCGGAUGGCUCAACAACCACAGGAAGGUGCACCAAGACGGGUACUACUAUAAGUGCAAUUAUUGCGCUUAUUGGUCCCCUGUCAAGGAUGAGGUACUGUCACAUGUGGCUAGGAAACACCACAUGGGUUCUGAAUCUGAAGAAAAGAAAAUGAAGGUGGAUGGACCAUUGUCUGUGGAAGCAGCAGCUGUUGCUAGUCAAGUUCCUAGUAAUGCAGGAAGGGCAGCAGCUCCAAGCCUCAUGGACACUGUAAAACGGCUGGGACAGGCACUCCGCUCUUCUCCUGUACCCAUGGCUUUUGAAGCCCAGACGAAAAAUGACGGGAGUGCAGUGUUAUUGUCGCAGGACAAGACAGCUCAAGAAGCACUCAAGAGGAAAGAAGGUGGAGACAGAAACCUUGUGAUGACCCUGAGGAAGAGAAAGACAGAAAAUGGUGAGGCAGUUUGGCAGGCAGAGGAAAACAAAGUUUGCCCUUACAACGAAUGCAAGAAGAGGUUUGAGUCAGCCAGUGCCUUUGUAACUCAUCUUGCAGAGCACUCAGGGACGGCACAGACACCGAACACAAGUGGGCAGCUACCACAGCCUACCCAGCAGCCCUCUGUACAGUCCGUCCAGCAGCUGUUCACUUCUAAACCUUCCCACGCAGCCACCUUCCCAGCAUUCCAAGCAAGUACCUACCCAGCAUUCCCAGCAGCCACCUCUUCAGCAGCCAUCCGAGCAGCCACCUCCACAGCUACCUUCCCAGCAGCCACCUCCCCAGCUACCUUCCCAGCAGCCACCUUCCCAGCUACCUUCCCAGCAGCCACCUCCCCCCUUGCCGCAGCAGCAACAGCAGCUGGCCCUGUUCCAGCCGCAGCAGACCCUCCUGCAGCAGCAGCCACGCCCUCUGACCUCAGUACAACUGAUGACCCCUAACCCUACCAUGCCUGCAGGCUUAGUCAGGCCUCCUGCAAACGUCGGUGCCAACCAGCAGUCAGUGCUGAGCCAGGGGCAGGCGGUCAACCCACAGAACAGGCAGGUGUUCUUGGUGAGUGGACUGCAGCAGAACCUGGGAGGUUUUGCCCUCUUUGUUCCAUACACAUCAGGUGCACAGCCAGCCCCACAAACAGCAGGUGGGAGUGUGGUCACAUCAGUAGUCCAGAGGCCUCACCCAACACAGGCCAGCACCGUGCCACAGAGCACAGUGGGUAGUCCAAACUUCCCCUCGCCACAAGCACUCACUGCUCAGGCCACUUCCAGGCCACCUGAUAUAGAACACAAGUUUGACCUGUCCAACCACGUGACUCAGACAUGGAGGGGAGACUUCCUGUGCAAGUACUGCAGCUACACUACCCAGCACUGUAACAUCAUAUCCAGGCAUGUCAGAAGGCAUCUACGUGUGUCUGGUAAAGAUGAAGAGAACACCCAAGGAACCCAGGAUUCUACAGGAAGCAGUCAACAGUAAACAACCAGUACUCCAUCCAGCGAUGGGCAUCUGUUGGCUUCACCUCCAUAUGCCACCUCCACCACUCCUCCCACUCCCUCCCAGCCACCCUUUAAUGUGUCCCAGCACAUCACUGAGGACUGGAGAAGUGGCGUGUUCAGCUGCAACUAUUGCCCGUUCUCCACCACAGCCAAGAACAUCCUGUCCAGGCAUGUGAAGAAACACUUGCCACAGGGAGCGGCAGGUAGCAGGGGAACUCCUGAUAGCGUCGGCACCCCUGUAGGGCCACAGGAGGCGGAGGGGCAGGCAGGGGCAGCCGAGGCAGAGAGCAGUGGAGCAGGGAGUACAGAGACCUUUGACUUGUCCAAGCACGCCACCCAGACAUGGAGAGGUGACUUCACCUGUAACCACUGUGGCUACGUGGCACAGUUUAAACAGAUCAUGUCCAGACAUGUCAAGCAGCAUCUACAUCCUGGCAAGUCUCCUAAACGUGCUGUGGCUGCUAAGGCUUAACCUUGACAGACCACAUCCAAGUGUUGAACAUCGGACAGCAGUGUGUGUACCUGUGCAAGUACUGUGACUACCAAGCUGCUUUUAAGAGUCAUGUUUCACGGCACGUGAAGAAGCAUCUAGCACUGGGGGUGUCAGAGACUGCAGCACAGCCGAGUGUGUCUGUCAGCCCGGCAGCCAGCGCGGCGCAGAGUCAACAGGAAGUGCCUGUCGUACCGGAGACCACCAGCAGCAGUGGUGGCAGCCGUGGAGCUUCUCCUGGUAACCCUGGCUGUGCCGCCAGCCCCCCUCCCGACGGUAACAUGACCGGGGUGGAUGUGGAGGGACGAUGGUGGACCACCAAGUUCAGGUGCAAACACUGCAGCUUCUCCACCAGGUACAAGCAUCAGAUCGAGGAACACAUGCAGACCCACUCUCCUGCUAAGACAGAGCAGGGGCAGCAAGUCUCUCCGGGCACGACAGAGGACAAGAUAACAACUCCUCCACCUCCGUGUCCCAACCUCAGUCCACCUGUACAAACUGUCCCAAGCUCUCCAUCAAGUGGUGGUGUUGUUAGCUCUUCAGCAAACGCAGUGGUUAGCUCUGCUUCAAGCACUGUAACCAGCCCCCCACCCUCCCCCCACCCCCACGCAGUAGUGGUCAGCCCCCCUCCCCUCCCCAGCAGUCCUCCCUCAGGCCUGCCAGCGAGCAGCCGUGCACCUGGGGCUGUUGUGGAUACCAGCGGGAGGGUCUCAUUGACUAGCGGUAGACGCUUUGUCUUCUACCAGUGCAAGUUUUGUCAGUUCACCGGCCAUCGCAAGGAAGAAAUCAUAAAACAUGCCACAGAUGUCCAUCCUGGUGAGACCCCGCCUCUAACCAACCAGGGCACGCCGUACAAGUGCCGUCUGUGUCACUACUACACUCAGAGUAACGCGGCCUUGCAGGUCCACAUGAAGAGGCAUGACAACAGGGACUUCCCCUACAUCUGCACUCACUGUAAGUUUGCCGGGGCCUCUCGGGCAGACCUGGAGGAGCACUCCCGUAAACACAUCACCAUGGGCCGGGGGUCGGGCCGCAUCAGGAACGUCUACUUCACCAUCUUCAAGUGCCCGUACUGCACCUUCACCAGCCGCGUGUCCACGCUCAUGCAGGGCCACCUCACCACCUGGCACUCCACCAACACCAUCUUCCGCUUCUGCUUCAAGUGUGACCUGGAGUUCUCCAACCACGAGGACAUGGACAGGCACAUGCUGCUGUACCACGGCGGGCGGGCGGCGCUCCGACACGACAUGUACAAACGGGACAGCCCCACCUCUGCCUCACCAGCUAUCAGCUCAGAAGGCUCGCAGGUGGACGACUCUGAACCCCUCCCCCUCCUGUGGAAGUCUGCGGACAGACAAGCGGUCAAGAACUCGGAGGGUCCGCUGUCCCUGGUAACAACAGCUGGCAACAGGGCAGAAGAAGGGACGUCACUGCCUGUACCAAGUCUCUCACAGACAGAUGACAGUGAUGUGGAGUUUAUAUCUGAGACUCCUGCCACAAACAGUACUACUGACACUCACAAGGAGCAGUCUGAGAAACAGGAGGAUGUGACAAACAGGGGAGGUGUCAGUAAUGAUGGAGGGGUGGUGGACAGCAGUCAGGAGAACACGGCUAUGGAGACACCUGCACAGGAGGACUCAUCCAUCGGAAAGGAGCACAUCAGUCCACAGGCCAGAAGGAUGCCAAGUGUAUCUGCCCCUGAUGAUGAUGAUGAUGAUGUAAUGGCAUCUCCUCCCAGUUCUCCUGACCUGAAGGCAGUGACAGACCUGAUGGAGGAACUGUCUGACUCAGAAAUCAUCUCCGAGGACAGUACAGACCCAUUUGGGCAUCACCACUCUACCUCUCUACCUGAGAUGUCAACCACAAAGAUAUCCUCAGCUGAAGGUGUGACAGCAGAGACAACAAGCGAGGAAGUCACUAACACAGACAGUGGCAGUCUUGGCAAACCAAAUGGGGAACAAGAGAACACAGGCACUGAUAAAGAUGCUGAGAAAUCAGACACAGGAGGAGGAGGGGGGGCACUGAUGGUAUCUCGGGUCCACCCUCUUCAGAGUGGGCUUGUGGGCAGCGUAGAGACUGCUUCAAGGAGCAGCUUGGCUGGACAGCAGAACUGGCCUGCACCGAAGAGCACCAGCUCUGAUUUCCAGGGCAGUGGGACUUCCACACAGAGUGAGAGUGCUGGGAGUGAAGUCGGCAGGCAGGUGAAGGGCACUGCGCUGGUAGCCUGUGUUUCAGUCUCUCCUCAGACCAACCCGACCGCAAGCGGGAACAGUCGGAGUGAGUCGGAGGCGCCAUCGGGGGCGGCUGCGGGGUACAGGUGUAACCACUGCGGGGUGCGCUUCGGGGAUUUCCUGAUGUACAGCAUCCACGGAGGCUUCCACCACCAGGAGAACCCCUUCACCUGUAACAUCUGCAAACACACCGCAACCGACAGGUACCAGUUUAACCUCCACUUCACCUCGGCCAAGCAUGCCCGUCUGAUGGAUAGCUCCCCGCUGGGUGCCAUGGCAGCCAGUCUCGGCGUGCUGUCCCGCGGAGCCCCCGCCCCCAACACCACCCCCGCCCUGACCAACGGGGACCCAGGCUACCACUGUAUCCACUGCAGCAUGACGUUUGAUGACUUCCUGCUGUACAGUAUCCACUCAGGCUUCCACAGCCAGCACCACCCCUUCAUGUGUAACAUCUGUGGACAGGACUGCGAGGACAGGUUCCAGUUUGUCAUGCACUUUGCCAAGUCGGACCACUCUUAGUCUUCACAUAUCACUGAACUUAUGAAGCCUGUAUGGAUACUCUGUCAAAAAAUGGCUGUAUUCAUGCUUCUAAAGCUAGGACACUCAAGGCUAGGGAACCUUCAGGUGGUGCUUGAAUCAGAAAGGCCGUUGUUUUCUUGAUACGAAAAGCAGUUGAACUGUUGAUAUCUCUACAUGUGCCAAACUGUUAGUAUUAAUAUGCAAAGAGCACCUGGUGCUUAGAAUGCAUUUUGAACCAUUCCUCUAAGAUAAGAAUACACUGAUGAGAUCAUGUCAAACUUGUUAAACAAUCAACACAUUGAGAUUUGUGAAACUGUGGAUUGUGGAUAGAACCAUUUUUCUUUCCCUGGAGGACUCUGAAAGUAUUUUUCCAGAAAGAGAGUAAUGUUAGGAAGUGUUCCCUGGUGGAUCCACAAGUUGACAUUCUGAAGAGUAGUAACUUAUAUUGUAUCAUUUAUAAGGUGGAAAAACAAGGAAGAUACUGUGAUUUUUGUACUUAUAAGUGGAUGGGAUUUUCAGCCAUAUUGUAAAGAAACAUUGAUGCCAGUGUGCACCUAACCCUUCCACGUGGAAGUAGAACAUUGUCUCAUACCAGUCUGCUACUGUAGUGGUCAGUUCCCAAAGUUAUGUUUGAAGCAUGAGUGCAAGUGCAGCCAUGCUGUAGUUAUAAGAUGGUCUUCAGGCAGUGAUGGCAGUCUAUUUUGUUGUAACAGGUUAACGUAAUUUUAAACUCAGUUAGAAAUGCAGCUACUGAUUGCUUUGUAUCUUUAUGAACAAGCCAUCAUGUAUAUACUAUUUUUCUAUCAGUUCAUACUAACUUGUAUCAUGUAGUUGAGAUAUUUCUUGAGUUAUGAUUAACAAGUAACAUGAUUAACUGUGCCUUGACAAUAAGUAUCUAACCAUUUUUUGUUACUUUUUGUUAGGAUUAUCUAGUACAGAGCUUUUCAUGUAAGUUAGCUAUCAAUCAUUGUUAAUGUAACCCUAUUAACAGUUAAGCAUUUAAGUUGCGUUAUGUUAUGUUAUCUUAUGUUAUAAUCUUAACAAUGAGCCACAAAAAAAGAGAAGCCAAGAAUAGAUUACAAAAAUGGACUGUGUAUUUUUAUAACUGGUCAGAAGCUGCAGAAUACUGGUUGUCUUCCUCACACAGAAAUGUAAACAUUACAUGAUACAUUCAUUUGGAAAUCUUUAUUGAUAUAGCCGCCCUUUGGCGUAACACACCAGCUUAUGUCCCUCAAUAAGUAAGAGAUAUGUAUAUGUGUCCCUCAAGAAGUAAGAGAUAUAUUUUUGGCCAGAAUAAGAAACUGAGAGUCACCAUUAGAGGGCUGAUGAUUUUUGCUCUAAGGCAAAAGUAAAGAAUUCAUUCACUGUUUAGUUAAAGCACAGCUACGGGUAAUGUUAAUUAAUGCCAGAACUUCAAGAUGCACACUGAAAAGGUACAGGAAAUGUUGCCAAGAAAACAACAGGUUAACAAUUUUGUUACAUCUAUUUUUGAUUGAUUUGUUUAUGGUAGUGAAAGGUAUGUUUAACCAUAGGUAAUGGUCGAAAGUAUAGUAACUUUUUUUUUCAUGCACAGAGGGUAGUUUGAAAGUCAUAGCUCGCUGCAUGUAACAUUACUUUAUUUCUGACUGAAGGUGGCACUAAGGCAUGUGUACUUUCACCUGUCAAUUAGGAACUGUUAUCUAAAUAUCAAGUGUGCAGAAUGUAUGCUGAGUAACACAUUCUACACUACAUGUAUGGUAUACCAGGGGAGACAAAACAUGAGAAAACAACUUUUGCUGUAACUUUGUUUCUUUAUUAUUGUAGCAUAUUAGCUUGUUUCAUACUUUCUUAUCCCUAAGUUUGAUUGUACCUGUAUAUGAAACACCAUGUGGUGGAAAGGACAAAAAGCUAGGUAUUUUUCUGUGGAAGAAAUGUCAAAGAUCUGUAUCACAGAUGCCUUAUCUAGUUGAUAGCACUUUUGUUAAGUUUUGUAAUAAAAGGAUGUU